CCGCAGAUCCGCUCUGUCGCUGCCGACUUCGGUCGGGGGAGGAAAGUCCGGGCAACAUAGAGCACCACGCAGGUUAACGGCCUGAUGGGCGUGAGCUUAUGGCAAGUGUAACAGAAAAGAACCGCCGUGUUGGGAGAUCUCGUUUGGGGUCAUCUGCGAUGCGGUAAGGGUGAAAAGGCGGGGUAAGAGCCCACCGCGAGGGCAGCAAUGUCACUCGGACAGUACAUCCCGUGGGUUGCAAGACCAUGUAUACCGACAAUUAAGGGUUGCUCGCCCGAUGUCGGGGGGUAUGUUGCUGGAGGCGGUGUGAGAGCACCGUCGUAGAUAAAUGACAGGGGGCCGAAUGGGAGAGGUGGCUUUUGGUUUUGCUCGUAAGGCUACAACUUCUCAUCUCGGCAACAGAACCCGGCUUAUAGGAUCUGCAAGCAA
rnacentral:RNase_P_RNA from 1 species